GAGACAAACGAAAUUGAGAUUGUAGCAGUUAAAACUUCAUAUUACACGAAAUACAAAAGAAUGCUGCGGUUCAACUAAUUUGAAUUUACCCUUGUAACAAGGUAACCUACCUCCUUAAGUUUACGCUUGUAAUCAUUUAGAGUAGAUGAAUUUUAGAUAUGCUCGGAUAGCGCGUUCCAAUCGCGGAUGACAGAUGGAAAGGAAUGAUUCGCUAUAAAGUUGCAUGGGCGUAUGUAUUAAAGAAACAUCAUUUAUAUUCCUUAAUGCAUGCGUACCGAGUUUGAUGUAAGAUGAUUAAUUAUCUUAUACUAGUAGAAGGUAAUAAGCUUGUCUUUUCCUUCUGGAUGAUACUUUUAACUCGUUUAGUGAUACUGCAUAAUUUUGUAGUUCCAUUUAUGAUUCUCGCGGCUUCGAUUUGUAUUGCUUUUGAUUUGUUUUUCUUCUUAAGUAGUGCAGUUAUAACAUGUAUCGCUGUAUUCCAAUAUAGGAAUAUAUAAUGCUUAGCUUCAACUAAUAAAUCAGCAUGUGACAUGUAAGCUCACCAGAUAUGGAGGGUAUUAAAAUUAAGGUUUGUGUUAUAUACCAAGAGACUACAAAAAUGACUGCAAUGUCAAUCAAACCCAAAUCGUGGAAAUUCAGACUUUAUAAAGGACGUAUACCACUCAAUAUACAUUACCAAGGCUGCUGCCCAAUACCAUAAUAUCUCGACUGGACAUGCGACCUGUCUCUAUAUGCAAUUGCCGAUCAGAUGCAGUAGAAUAGACUACCGACAUGGCAAGAAUAAGGUUUUGAUCAGACUGAGUGAGUUGCAUGUAAAAAUGUCCGCUAUUUGUGACCUGCUGCGCAGAUGCUUUGGUCCACUCAAAUAUUGCUACAAUAGGAAAGUAGUUUUCUCAAGAAAUUUUGUUGUGUGGCCAGGACAAAGCAUGUCUAUGAGAUUGUGUAUGUAGAUAUUAUGAAAUCUAACACGGAGAGUAUAGAGUAUAUGAGGAAAUUCACUAAGUAAACCAAAAAACGAAUCAAUUGAUUGUCCCCAAAUACAAUGUUGCAGUACACGUUCAGAUACUGAAUCAGUUGAUAUUAUGGUUCUUUACAUUGGACCUCAUCCAACUGUUUAAGAAGAAUACCCGUCUACCUCUGAGAUGUUGUCACUUUUUACGAAAAGAAUCCUGACGUAUUUCGUAAAUAUCCUACAUGAAAGUUUGUGAUUCUGCUAAGUUAACUGAAAAAUCAAAGUUCAUUUCUGAGUGUGCCCAAACCACGUGACUUUGACGUCAUUUUCCGGCUUACACGACAAACUAAAUUGACAACAACUUCGUCGAUUCGAAACUUCAAAGCAAGUACGAUGGCUUCUGAAGCGGAAGAACCAGUUCAUAUAUGUUCUGAAUGUAGGAACACUUACCAACAUAGCAGGAACUUAAACACCCGUGAAAUAACACACAAUGGGACACUACUGUCUACGUUUGCUGCAAUUGCUGUUCAACUAGGCGGCUCCCUACAUAGGUUUAGGUGCACCGUACAUGGAGACCCUAGAUACCAAAAAGUGAAAAGGAGUUCAGUGGAACGUGGAAAUUAAUUAUCAUGACUUGUGAUAUUUGUGACCAUAAGACUCCAAGGAUGACUUAUUUGGGAGAACACAAUGCGCAUCACUCUCAGAAGAGAAAAUCUGUGUGUAGAUAGUUUGGCGAAAACGAAAAAGAGGCGUUGAUACAUGAAAACAGCUUGCCAUAUAUAAAUUAUAUUGUAUUUGUGUUUUGAAUACAGUACAAUGGACAUGGACAUAUUAUCAAUAUUUCAUAACUGGUGCAUUGUAACAAUAUAUUCAGUUGCAUUUCGGAGUGCUCAGUUGCAGUAUAGUCUGUACAGUAUGAAAAUACAGUGUUCUAGAAUUAAUGCCCAGUAAUUCUGUAAUUGUACUUGACAAAUCUGAAUCGCACAAGGGAUUUUUAAAUUGUACCUAAAUAGAUUAAUGAAAGAAGUAGUGAUUACAGAAUAGAUUAACAGACUGAAGAAUUCAAAAUACAUAACAUAUAAUAAUAUUUUGAUUAAUGUUGUAAGGCUACUGUAGAAUUUUAAGAAUUCCAACAUGCCAAUUAUUAUACAUAUUAUUGGAAUUCUUAAAAUGCGCAGGAAAAUUCUGGAAUAGUCCAUAUUUUCAUAUGAAGCAUUGUAUUUAUAUAGAUUUGUCAUAUCAAGUAUUCAUGUAGACUUCCUGUCUUGAGGUUUGAAGCCCCAAAUCAAUGAAUGACUUGUAUGGGCGUCGCGAACUUCCAAAAACUGCCACUCCUUUUCCUAAAUUGAAGCUAGUACUGGUAAGAAACUCAGAAAGUAGCUGUCGAGCGUAAUUUAGUUAAAGGAACAUUCGAUGUAAAUUUUAAAAUGUACCUCUAAAUAGAUACAUUAUUAUUAUCUUUAUUAUUAUUGUUGUUGUUGAUGUUGUUGGUGUAUAGAGUUAGAGGAUCUGAAGCGAGUUGUUAGUUAUUAUAAAAGAUAGGAAACGAGUCCUGAUGUUUGCUUGUUAAGCGAGCCUCUUGACGAGUUUCAUAUACAAAAUGUACUUUUCUAUUAAAUAACAACUAACGUAAGAUUAUAUUUAUUCCAUGAUUCUCUAGAUGUGCUACAUUAUAAAUAUGUUUGAAUAUUGAUGCGAGUAGAGUGAUCUAUUCUUGGUGAACAUCCGAUGACUGUUUGCUGAGAAGUGCUACUCAAUAGACGGUAUUUUUAAAGGCUUGUCGUAUUAGCGGGCUUGCCGUCUUAGCAUAUUUUGCUUUUCCAGUUUUUUGAUAAUCCUGCUAUAUCAUUUCUGACAAAGAUCUCCAAAAGUGCAGGCAUUGAAUCCCUGUAAAUCGGUAAUACGCACGACACCCUUCAUGCUCACAAUUAUCUGUUUUUCUGUCAAAAGGGACACUUGCUUGCCGUCUUACCAUGCUGCAUUUAUUGUUUGCUCACCUUAGCAAUGCUCAGGUGAGUUAUUGUGAUCGCUCGAUGUCCGGCGUCUGUCUGUCUGUCUGUCAACAUUUAGCUUGUGUAUGCGAUAGAGGCUGUAUUUUUCAAUUGAUUUUCAUCAAAU
rnacentral:lncRNA from 1 species